AGAAUGCAGUGAUGUACUGAAAGUGGGUUGCCAAUCCAAGGAUCCAUUGUGUGAUGCUAAUCUCCGAUUUACACUAGAUUCUUGUGCUGUUUAUUCCUCCCCUGGCAUAUACAUUGCAGCCCAUGCUAGAAAUCCACAAUGAGCCUCCCUAAAAGGGUCUCCCUCUGGACCAUGGUGGACGUGUUUGGCUGGGUCAAGGAGAAGCACCCCUACCAAAAGAGUGUCCUCCAACUGGCCAUCGUGAAGCAUGACAUAUCCGGCCGAGCACUGCUGAUGAUGGGUGAGCAUCAGUUGGAGAGGAUGGGGGUGAAGGGGGAGCACCUUCAGGACAUCCUACUGGACAUUCUUCGCCUCAGGGUCCAGGAGAAACUGGAGAACAUCAACAACAUCUUCUCUGGUGAGGGAUUCUAGAGUCUCCUCUUAAAGAGAUAGUUAGACAUUUAGGCAGUUAAGCCAUUUUGUAAUCUUACCCAGAGUCAAAUGAACUCAUGGAUAAGGGAGAGUGGGGUAAGUUGAGUCAAAAGGGUUAGUUGAGCCGUCCUUGUUUCUAGGAAACCAUACACAAAAGUAAUAAUUUGACCAAAAUGUAGGAAGAGGUCAUCAUGUCAUGGAGUCCGAAGGAAGAAAUCCCAUGGAAAAAAUGGUAAGCAAGUUAGGUCCAAAAAAUGAUUUUCAACAAGUCAAAUUAAUUUAUUGUGUUAGAUGUUUCAUGAUGCUUGUAUCUAAACCAAAGUAGAUAAUUUUAAGAUCUUCUAUGUAUCAGUUGGGGUCUCUAUAAGCUUCAAUAUGAGGUCCUAAACCUAGCAUGAAAGUGCCUCCUUGUAGCUGUGUGGGAUUAUAGUCAAAAUGUUUUCCUUGGGAUACGUUGUGGCAAUGGUUGUGCCAAUGGCAAGUUUAGAAAAUGGAAGUGUUUUCUUUCCAGGCAUAAUAGAAGGCAUUAUCGCUGGGAUAUGAGGUACCAAAAGGGCCUAGCCUAUAUUAAAAGUGUUUUUUUAAAGUACAAAGGUUUUGGUAAUUGUUAAGCCUGUGUUAAAUGAUCCUUAAAAUUAUUAAAAUACAAAAAUGAUUGUGAUUGAGUUAAAUUGUGUUUGGGGAAAUAAAGAUAGACAUGGUUUUAAAAAGGUAGUGGUAAUAUUUCAUUCAGUACAGAAGUUUGUAGGGGGCUUAAUUUAACCUAUCCCGUGGCUCAACUUAACCCAUAACGGGUAAGCUGUGCCAAGAGACCACUUUUUUUGGACAAGCUAUUUUUUCAAAACUGUAAUGUUUAAAUUAAUUCUGAUUAUUUCCAGGGAUACACCACAUCCUGAAUAUAUAUAUAUAUAUACAGUGUCUUUGUUAGAAAGAAUACUAUAUUUCUGUUGAUGGAGUGAUGCUGAAGGUAAAAAAUGGCUCUACUUACUCCACUCUACCAUUUUUAUGUCUGAGUGCAGUUUGAAGGAAGUUGAAGGUCGUUUCUGGAUACAUUGCUAACUAGCAUUAGAGCAAUGACUGGUUCUCUACUGGUGCAGCUAGAAGGAUUUCAUCUGACUCUGAGUAAGUAGAAAAAAGGGGUUUAAUGUUACGGUGAGUGAAUGAGGACCCAAAAGCGAACUAACUUAAACAGAGCUUCUUUAAUAACCAAACAUAGGUAGGCUCAGAUAGACCGGCAGAUUCCGACAGGACAGGACAAGGUUACAGCAAACAUGACGAUAGUCUGGCUCAGGCAUGAAACACAACAAACAAGAAUCCGACAAGGACAGGAACAGAAACAGAGAGAGAUAUAGGGACCUAAUCAGAGGGAAAAAGGGAACAGGUGGGAAACGGGGUGAAUGGGUAGUUAGAGGAGACAAGGAACAGCUGGGGGAAAGCGGGGGAGAAAAGGUAACCUAACAACGACCAGCAGAGGGAGACAGGGUGAAGGGAAAGGACAGAGACAAGACACAACAUGACAGUACAUGACAGUACCCCCCCACUCACCGAGCGCCUCCUGGCGCA
rnacentral:lncRNA from 13 species